GAUGAACGCUGGCGGCGUGCCUAAUACAUGCAAGUCGAGCGAACAGACGAGGAGCUUGUUCCUCUGACGUUAGCGGCGGACGGGUGAGUAACACGUGGAUACCCCACCUAUCACACUGGGAUAACUUCGGGAAACCGGAGCUAACACCGGACAAUAUAUUUACCCGUAUGGUUCAAUAGUGAAAGACGGCUUUGCUGUCACUUCUAGCUGGAUCUGCGCUGCAUUAGCUAGUUGGUACGGUAACGGCUUACCACGGCAAAGAUGCGUAGCCGACCUGAGAGGGGGAUAGGCGACCCGGGAGCUGAGACACGGUCCAGACUCCUACGAGAGGCAGCAGUAGGGAAUCUUCCGCAAUGGGGGGAAGCCUGACGGAGCGAGGGCGCGCGAGUGGUAGCGGUGUUGGGAGCGUGAAGCUGUGUUAUGAGGGAAAAACAAAUGUGUGAGGAACUGUGCACGUCUUGACGGUACCUGAUCAGAAAGCCACGGCUAACUACGUG
rnacentral:rRNA from 1 species